rnacentral:rRNA from 1 species
AACCGUGCAAAGGUAGCAUAAUCACUUGCCUAUUAAUUGUAGGCUAGAAUGAAGGGGUUAACGAAAUAAAGACUGUCUCAAUUAAUUAACUAAAAAUUAUUUUCUACCUGAAGAAAAGUAGAUAACUCGAAGGACAAGAAGACCCUAUAGAGCUUAAUUUUACCUAUAGAACUAUACUAUAAAAAUAUUCGGUUGGGGCGACCCAGGCUAAAUAAUCACCCAUUAUAUAAAAGAUAAAUUAAUCAAACAAAUGACCCUUAAAAGAUCACAAAACCAAGCUACCUUAGGGAUAACAGGCUAAUCCCACUCAAGAGUCCUUAUCAACAGUGGGGUUUGGCACCUCGAUGUUGCUUAGGGUAUCUAUAUGCGCAAAAGUUAUAUAAAGAUGGUUUGUUCAACC